GAUGAACGCUGGCGGCGUGCCUAAUACAUGCAAGUCGAGCGAACAGACGAGGAGCUUGCUCCUCUGACGUUAGCGGCGGACGGGUGAGUAAGACGUGGAUAACCUACCUAUAAGACUGGGAUAACUUCGGGAAACCGGAGCUAAUACCAGAUAAUAUAUUGAACCGCAUGGUUCAAUAGUGAAAGACGGCUUUGCUGUCACUUAUAGAUGGAUCCGCGCCGCAUUAGCUAGUUGGUAAGGUAACGGCUUACCAAGGCAAUGAUGCGAGGCCGACCUGAUGGGUGAAGCGGCCCACCGGGACUUGGACACGGUCCCAGCCCCCUAGGGGAGGAGGAGGGGGGAAUUUUGGCGCAUUGGGGGAAACCCGAACGAGGCAUCGCGCGGGGAGGAAGGAAGGUCUCCGGUUCGUAAAACUCUGUUAUUGGGGAAAAACAAAUGUGUAAGUAACUAUGCACGUCUUGAGGGUACCUAAUAAGAAGGCCACGGCAAAUUACGG
rnacentral:rRNA from 1 species